CUUCCUUGGAUAAGCGUACCAUUUUGUUUACAAUACCUUUAAAAAAGUAAUCGUUCCCCAUACUGGUGACAUUAACUCAAUUUUUCAAUGCUAUUAUAUACUGUAUUGACCUUUCAUUUCCAAAGCCUCAUACCACCAAACAUCACGAGAAUCUCCUUUGCAUUCGACAGGGAAUUGCAAGUCCCGAUCUGGAGUGAAUCUGAGUGAAUCUAGUCUAUGAAAUGAAGUCAUCAGAUCUUCAGCGAGAACUCAAAUGAAAGGGACGGUCAGGGAAAAUACGCACCCUCUCCGAAAGGCUCGAAUUAGCAAGAUACUCGAGUGGCCUGCGCAAGAUGAGCCCGAAAGCAAACAUCGAAUGCUAAGAAAUCCCUUGCCGUUCAUACACAUCUAUAUUUAUGGAAUAUUUCCAACGCGUUAAAUGGUCUUAGAAGGGAAAAGUAUACAUGUGGUGCAUGCAAACUUUCAUGCUUGGUUUUCAACGGCCGCCAUCUUUGCUUCGUCAUUAAACGUAUUUUUGUCAAAUGUAAAUUGUAGAGCUGUUGUUCACUUAGAAACUUUCAGUCUCUCUUGACAACUCCUUAAAUUACAACCUCGAACUUGGAAAAAUAAAUCAUCCAAAUCAAGUUGUAUAAAUGUUAGUAUUUUGAUCGGAAUGAGGAGAGAAAGGUUUCGUUAUCUCUUUCUCUCUCUCCCUUAGUUUCAAUUUUCUACCGAACUCGUUUCGCCACGCUUGAACUGGAAUGAUUUGAACAUGUAUCUCUAACAAAGACUGCUUUCUUUCUUUGUGAUAAUCUGGAGAAAGGGUUCUCCUGCUGUACAAUAUUAUUACAACAUGUGCGAUGCUGGCUUCGAUUGUGUGCAAAAGCAAACAUGGUGAAGGAUGUACUUUUUAUUUGCGAACUUGAAAUCAUAUCAAGGCUGACAAAAUACAACUACACUUUUGAGUCAACUCUUGUCUGAAAAUCUGCCUAGUAAUCCUUUUUAUUCUAAUUUUUAAAUAUUUCUCUCUGGAUAUGACAGAUUUUGAAAGAUAUCCCAGCAUAUUUUAACCCACCAUAUGUAAACCAAAUUCAAAGGGUAUAAGUUUUAAAUAAUUACUUGUACCAUGAAGACAAAUCUUAGAAGCAUAUAACACAAUUUCUCACUCUCUCUCUCUUUUAUGAAGCUUCUUUUAAGGUAUAAUUGAGACUGUUUUGUUUAAGUUAC